rnacentral:rRNA from 1 species
UACGGGGGGGGCAAGCGUUGUUCGGAAUUACUGGGCGUAAAGGGCUCGUAGGCGGCCAACUAAGUCAGACGUGAAAUCCCUCGGCUUAACCGGGGAACUGCGUCUGAUACUGGAUGGCUUGAGUCCGGGAGAGGUGAGUGGAACUGCGAGUGUAGAGGUGAAAUUCGUAGAUAUUCGCAAGAACACCAGUGGCGAAGGCGGCUCACUGGCCCGGUACUGACGCUGAGGUGCGAAAGCGUGGGGAGCAAACAGG